UCAGCGCAAUUGGCUAGCGCGUUCGGCUGUUAGCAAACUACCAGCAAAUGUGACCGGAAGGUUGGUGGUUCAAGCCCACCCGGGGGAG